CACGCACACACGCGCGGCAUAUCAAUAAGCGGAGGAAAAGAAACUAACAAGGAUUCCCUUAGUAACGGCGAGUGAAGCGGGAAGAGCUCAAAUUUGAAAUCUUCAAGGUUCUACCUUGACGAAUUGUAGUUUAUAGAAGUGUUUUCUGUUAGUAGAGUGGCAAAAGUUCUUUGGAAUAGGACAUCAUAGAGGGUGAGAAUCCCGUAUUUGGUCAUUCUUUCUAGCUUUGUGAUACACUUUCAACGAGUCGGAUUGUUUGGGAAUGCAGUCCAAAAUGGGUGGUAAAUUUCAUCUAAAGCUAAAUAUUGGCGAGAGACCGAUAGCGAACAAGUACCGUGAGGGAAAGAUGAAAAGAACUUUGAAAAGAGAGUUAAACAGUACGUGAAAUUGUCAAAAGGGAAGCGUUUGACACCAGUGUUGUUUUUCCGAAAAUCAAUUACGAAUGUUUUAUUUUUGAGAAGUUAUGACUUCAUCGGCUUGCUUCUUUCUUUAUGAAACUUUCUUAAUGCACUUUUCGGUUAACAAGUCAACAUCAAUUUCUUUUGUUGUAAAAGGGUAUGAGGAAGGUGGCUUUCUUUUCGGAGAAAGUGUUUAUAGCCUUGUGUACCUCUGCAAUCGGAGAGAUUGAGGUCUGCAGCGUAGAUCCUUCGGGGUUAGAUACAUUUGUGCUAAGUUAUAGCUUUUCAUAGACAACUUGUUGACUAUGUUUAGUCUUGUAGCUUACUCGCUUAUGCUAUUUUACCUACGCUUAGGAUGUUGAUAGUCACAGCGUGUAC
rnacentral:rRNA from 1 species